rnacentral:rRNA from 1 species
UACGGGGGGGGGUAAGCGUUGUUCGGAAUUACUGGGCGUAAAGGGCUCGUAGGCGGCCAACUAAGUCAUACGUGAAAUCCCUCAGCUUAACUGGGGAACUGCGUGUGAUACUGGAUGGCUUGGAUUUGGGAGAGGGAUGCGGAAUUCCCGGUGUAGCGGUGAAAUGCGCAGAUAUCUGGAGGAACAUCGGUGGCGAAGGCGGCAUCCUGGACCGGUAUUGACGCUGAGGCGCGAAAGCCAGGGGAGCAAACGGG